rnacentral:lncRNA from 1 species
AUGCUGAGAAAGGUAGCUGCCAAACCUUGACUGCAAUAACAAUAACAAAAAUUAAAAACCUAAAAUAAUAAGUAUAUCAUACUGACCUUUCCUGUUUACCUUGCUGUAGGUACCACAUCUGUGUGACUGUGCUGAUCUACUUCCUCCCCCUGCUGGUGAUUGGCUAUGCAUACACCGUAGUGGGAAUCACACUAUGGGCCAGUGAGAUCCCCGGGGACUCCUCUGACCGCUACCACGAGCAAGUCUCUGCCAAGCGCAAGGUGAGCAGGGGACAGGCAGAACUAACCCACCCUGGCACAGACAACAGGCUGUCGAGAAGGGAUGGCACACUUGUGAGCCCCAGAGGCAGCUAGCACAAAAUAUCCCCAGGUA